rnacentral:piRNA from 1 species
UCUUAUUUCGAUCAAAAAAUA